CAGGUCUGUCUGUGUCUGAGGGAGGAGGUCUGUUUUUAUCUUUGGUUAUCUAGCUGUAUGAGUUUUAAACACCUGUCAUAAAGCUAGAUAACCGAAAGUAGAAAUGACUUCCAUGUUCACUCCCAAGAGUCGAUGAUGGGGAGGAGGCUGCAAGUGGAUUCUUACAUGAAAAGUUAACAGACCUGCCUGAAACAGCACAUGGACAGAAGUGAGGAAACCAUUGGUCCAGAUCCGGUCCCAUUUUGCCCUCUGAUGCCAUCUGCACUGCCAGCGGAGACACUUCUCCUGUGCCAGGAGGCGGACAAAGACCCUCCCCAGUUCCCUGGAGUAUAGGAGCCCGCUCAGAGGAGCCAUCUUGGGAGACGUUUGCCACGGCGCCUAAAAUGGCUGGGCUGGCACUUGAGAGCGGGACAAGAACUCAAAGAGGUCGAGAACCAAACCCAAAGGAAGGCCCUCAUCAGACACACAGGACUCUCAUGGACUGAAAAGAUUAUAAAAUCUCACGAUGUGUCGUCUGAGAAACUUCUCGUGUCUAAACAAAUGAAGCAUGUGACUGCACAAAUCUGGAUAAAUAUACUUGCAUUUUUAUUGCAUGCAAAAAUCCAUUGCAGCUAAUUAACGUUAGCAUUUUUUU